GAAUCCACAAUUCAGAUCUCCUUUUCUCCCCGCCCCGUGCCAUGUCAUGUUGUCUUUUCUAACCUUCUUCUGCUGGCAGAACGUUUCAUUUGUCCACCUAUUUGUUCCUUCCUUCUUCCUUUCUUUAUUUACUUGUUCAACACUGAUAGUACGCCCACUAUGUGUUGUCCCAAGGCAUGAGGAUCCAGCAGGAUUGAAGCAAAUGCAUGUCUCUCCCUGGUGGAGUCUGCGCUCUUGUUGGGAGAAACUGACAAAAUACGGAAGUCAGGAGGAGCAGGUGGAUGGUGCUGCGCAGGAAAGGAACAGCUGAAGGAGGAUGGAGAGUGGGACAUGGAGAGUUUCUCCCAGGGCAGAUGCAAGGGGGCAUGCUCGUGGGACUCAGCCUGCUCGAGAACGAAACGGGAUUGCACGACAUUCCCGCUCAGCUCCAGCCCCCGAUCUGGAAGCAGCUGAAGAUAGAGGGACCUUGACUUUUAUCUGAUUCUCCAGCUCUUCACAUUCCAGGAAAGCAACUCAAGCUCUAAUUUGCUUAGUCAUUUAGUUGAAACCGCAGUAAGAGAGGUGGCAGAGAAAGUGAAACAGUAGGAAAAUUAGAUAAGGAAACAAAAGUGAAAACAUGGUUUUUUUUAAUUUAAUUUUUUAUUUUUUAUUUUUUGAGACAGAAUUUCGCUCUUGUUACCCAGGCUGGAGUGCAAUGGCGUGAUUUCGGCUCACUGCAACCUCCGCCUCCUGGGUUCAGGCAAUUCUCCUGCCUCAGCCUCCUGAGUAGCUGGGAUUACAGGCACGCGCCACCAUGCCCAGCUAAUUUUUUGUAUUUUUAGUAGAGACGGGGUUUCACCAUGUUGACCAAGAUGGUCUUGAUCUCCUGACCUCGUGAUCCACCCACCUCGGCCUCCCAAAGUGCUGGAAUUACAGGCUUGAGCCGCCGCGCCCGGCCAAAAACAUCUUUUUUUAAAGACUCAAAUAAAAACCAUGAAUUUUAAAAGUUGCUCAGGAUUAACUUCCCUGCUGUUUAAAAUGUCCACAGUAUGCAGUUAAGGGACACCCAUGACCCCAUUCGCCCCAGCAUUCAUUCCUUCAUCCUCCUUUCCCUCGAACAGGAGUGUGAAGGCCUCACAGCACGAGGCGCCCUGGAGUAGAUACUGCAUUUCCAUGGAGAUUUAGGGGAAAAUGCCAGUUAGUGUCUGAAUCUUCUUACCUCCGCUUACCUCCACUCAAUAUAAUGAGACGAAGCCGGCAUUCCCCAAGUGCCCGUGGUACCUAUGCAACAGCUAACCUGCAGUUUGGAUGGAGCAAAACGAUUCUGAGAACAGAAAAACCAAGUGUCUGCUUCAUAUGGUUUGUUAGAAGAGAACAAACUUCGUUCCCUCCCUCGAUGACUUUGGGCACACAGAGAGGAGGCUACCGGGAAUCUUCUACUGUGGGUUUUCAUCCGAGCUGUAGGUGUGAGCAUCUCUCUCUCAUCAGUGCUCAGAGUUGGAACAAUCAAACCUCGGGCUCUCUGGCAUCACAGAAACAAGGAAAGCUUUUCUCUGUUGGGUAAAUUAUUAAUCGUGGCGCUAUAUCCCCCUUGACAUCAAUAAAGCACGACAAUCCA